rnacentral:rRNA from 1 species
GGGAAUAUUGCACAAUGGGCGAAAGCCUGAUGCAGCGACGCCGCGUGAGGGAUGACUGCCUUCGGGUUGUAAACCUCUUUCAGCGGGGACGAAGCGAAAGUGACGGUACCCGCCGAAGAAGCACCGGCCAACUACGUGCCAGCAGCCGCGGUAAUACGUAGGGUGCGAGCGUUGUCCGGAAUUAUUGGGCGUAAAGGGCUCGUAGGCGGUUUGUCACGUCGGGAGUGAAAACUCAGGGCUCAACCCUGAGCCUGCUUCCGAUACGGGCAGACUAGAGGUAUGCAGGGGAGAACGGAAUUCCUGGUGUAGCGGUGAAAUGCGCAGAUAUCAGGAGGAACACCGGUGGCGAAGGCGGUUCUCUGGGCAUUACCUGACGCUGAGGAGCGAAAGUGUGGGGAGCGAA